AUAACAGUAUAGGACUCUUUCGAGGCCCUGUAAUUGGAAUGGGUACACUUUAAAUCCUUUAACGAGGAUCUAUUGGAGGGCAAGUCUGGUGCAGAGCGACUGACCCGUGCGUGCUGCAGCUGAAA